rnacentral:rRNA from 1 species
CAGUAGCCGCGGUAAUACGAAGGGGGCUAGCGUUGUUCGGAACUACUGGGCGUAAAGCGCACGUAGGCGGAUAUUUAAGUCAGGGGUGAAAUCCCAGAGCUCAACUCUGGAACUGCCUUUGAUACUGGGUAUCUUGAGUAUGGAAGAGGUGAGUGGAACUCCGAGUGUAGAGGUGAAAUUCGUAGAUAUUCGGAGGAACACCAGUAGCGAAGGCGGCUCACUGGUCCAUUACUGACGCUGAGGUGCGAAAGCGUGGGGAGCAAACAGGAUUAGAUACCCGGGUAGUCCCUGUCUCUUAUAC